GAACGCGUAUGGAACCUGCCCCUGUCAGGGGAAUAGCCCAGGGAAACUUGGAUUAAUGCCCCAUGGUACCGUUAUAUCGCAUGAUAUUACGGUUAAAGAUUUAUCGGACAGGGAUGGCCAUGCGUACCAUUAGUUAGUUGGCGGGGUAACGGCCCACCAAGGCAGCGAUGGUUAGGGGCCCUGAGAGGGGGAUCCCCCACACUGGUACUGAGACACGGACCAGACUCCUACGGGAGGCAGCAGUGAGGAAUAUUGGACAAUGGGCGGGAGCCUGAUCCAGCCAUGCCGCGUGCAGGAUGACGGCCCUAUGGGUUGUAAACUGCUUUUAUACGGGAAGAAACGCACCUACGUGUAGGUGUCUGACGGUACCGUAAGAAUAAGGACCGGCUAACUCCGUGCCAGCAGCCGCGGUAAUACGGAGGGUCCGAGCGUUAUCCGGAAUCAUUGGGUUUAAAGGGUCCGUAGGCGGGCCUGUAAGUCAGGGGUGAAAGUUUGUGGCUCAACCAUAAAAUUGCCUUUGAUACUGCAGGUCUUGAGUCAUGGUGGGGUUGCCGGAACAUGUGGUGUAGCGGUGAAAUGCAUAGAUAUCACAUAGAACACCGAUCGCGAAGGCAGGUGACCAACCAUGUACUGACGCUGAUGGACGAAAGCGUGGGUAGCGAACGGGAUUAGAUACCCCGGUAGUCCACGCCGUAAACGAUGGAUACUAGCUGUGGGGACUUCGGUCUCCGUGGCCAAGCGAAAGUGAUAAGUAUCCCACCUGGGGAGUACGUUCGCAAGAAUGAAACUCAAAGGAAUUGACGGGGGCCCGCACAAGCGGUGGAGCAUGUGGUUUAAUUCGAUGAUACGCGAGGAACCUUACCAGGGCUUAAAUGCAGGCUGCAUGGGGUAGAGAUACCCCUUUCUUCGGACUGCCUGCAAGGUGCUGCAUGGUUGUCGUCAGCUCGUGCCGUGAGGUGUCAGGUUAAGUCCUAUAACGAGCGCAACCCCUACCGUUAGUUGCCAGCAUGUCAAGAUGGGGACUCUAACGGGACUGCCGGUGCAAACCGUGAGGAAGGUGGGGACGACGUCAAAUCAUCACGGCCCUUACGUCCUGGGCUACACACGUGCUACAAUGGCCGGUACAGAGGGAAGCCACCCCGCAAGGGGGCGCGGAUCUACAAAACCGGUCACAGUUCGGAUCGGGGUCUGCAACUCGACCCCGUGAAGCUGGAAUCGCUAGUAAUCGGAUAUCAGCCAUGAUCCGGUGAAUACGUUCCCGGGCCUUGUACA
rnacentral:rRNA from 1 species